rnacentral:rRNA from 1 species
AUUGAACGCUGGCGGCAGGCCUAACACAUGCAAGUCGGACGGUAGCACAGAGAGCUUGCUCUCGGGUGACGAGUGGCGGACGGGUGAGUAAUGUCUGGGGAUCUGCCCGAUAGAGGGGGAUAACCACUGGAAACGGUGGCUAAUACCGCAUAACGUCGCAAGACCAAAGAGGGGGACCUUCGGGCCUCUCACUAUCGGAUGAACCCAGAUGGGAUUAGCUAGUAGGCGGGGUAAUGGCCCACCUAGGCGACGAUCCCUAGCUGGUCUGAGAGGAUGACCAGCCACACUGGGACUGAGACACGGUCCAGACUCCUACGGGAGGCAGCAGUGGGGAAUAUUGCACAAUGGGCGCAAGCCUGAUGCAGCCAUGCCGCGUGUAUGAAGAAGGCCUUCGGGUUGUAAAGUACUUUCAGCGGGGAGGAAGGCGGUGCGGUUAAUAACCGCGCCGAUUGACGUUACCCGCAGAAGAAGCACCGGCUAACUCCGUGCCAGCCGCCGCGGUAA